rnacentral:rRNA from 1 species
CUUGCUGGGUGGAUUAGUGGCGAACGGGUGAGUAACACGUGAGUAACCUGCCCUUAACUCUGGGAUAACCCUGGGAAACUGGGUCUAAUACCGGAUAGGAGCGCCUACCGCAUGGUGGGUGUUGGAAAAUUUAUCGGUUUUGGAUGGACUCGCGCCUAUCAGCUUGUUGGGAGGUAAUGGCUCACCAGGACGGGUCCGGCGAGAGGGUGACCGGCCACACUGGGACUGAAACACGGCCCAUAAUCCUACGGGAGGCAGCAUGGGGAAUAUUGCACAAUGGGCGAAA